UUGUGAUGUUGAAUUGAAGAUAAGUGGAGUUGAGCUGAACAUUGUUCCGAAAACAAACACACCAUUAAUCUUUGGAGAAUUCAAUACGAUAAAAGAUGUAAGCUGUGUUGGGGGGAGUUAUUGAAGCAAUAAUUCUAACGCGAAAUCAUUCGUUACUAUGGACUGACGGACAGAGGUUCAUACUGAAUGCUGUUUAGGAAAACGCCAAUCUACAUGAUAAUUGAUAUGAUUGGGCCAAACCAAACGCCGAAGUACGGGUGACAGUCGGGAUAUAUUUGUCAUUUUAAAAAACUAUGUUCUUGGAUUGGAGCGUGGUGUCACAUCCGUCCGGGCGGGUGGGGAGAAAGACUGGACGAGUGGGCCCACAUGGGCAGUGUGGCGCCACUCCAAAUUUUUAUUUUUGGGAGAAAUUGCUUCCCUGAAUUUUCACGUUGUCCACGCAAGGUAUUGUUAAUUAUACAUCCGCGACCACGGAAGCCGCCCCGCAUCGACGGCUCAGGAUUGCCAGCCGAUGGGAGUCAUCACUGUCCACGUGCCGAGUUGGCUGUCCAACCCACGAGCACGUGACGGUUGCUGCUUCCUUUACUUCCCACGACGUGAAGUGAACUGAAAUUGCCUCGACCAAAUCAAGCCUCGUUGAAUACAUUCCAAAAAGAAUACGAGGAAAAUUAUGCUAUUUCCCCGAAUUGGGGGCUGCCGGUUCGCUCACAAUGGCCGUCUAAUGGAUUGUCGUUCGACGCGUGGCGUCAUCCUAUUGAGUUGUUUUCGAAUAUAACUUAGAAGAAGUAGUUUCUGUUGCGAUGGAAUGGCACAAGAAUUGUACCCUCGAAGGCGGCGCGGUGCUUCGAAGGGACUGACUGAACUGGGUUCGGCAUGUAUCAUGUGAUUUCUGGGGAAUGAAGGAAGUAGUUUCUAUGGCGAUGAAAUGGCACUAGAAUCGGACCCCCAAAGGCACCGGCUUGGAGGGACUGACUGGGUUUGGCAUGUAUCAUGUGAUUUCUAGAGAAUGAACAUAAGAAAGCACCGAUUGAAAUGAUA